CACUCACGCAGCACACACACAAACACACUCAACACACACUAAACACACACUUCACGCCACUUCCAUUGACGCUUGGUGUUCGAGCUUUCAAGCUCCGAUUUGAGUGCCGAGACGAGCCCCGAUCAUCUUUUCGAUCACGUAUCUAAGUAGGUCCUUUUGGGAAGUAAUGACUUGAGGGAGAGAGUGACGUUACUCAUUGAUACAGAGACACAACGAGGUUGAGCAGCUACCGAUGGUGAUGAAGUGACGAGCGAGAUUCUUUUGCCUUAUUAUGUAUUAAUGAACUCUAGGGUUACAUGUCUUCAUACAUCUAAUCAGAAUCUUAUUCCG